GGCGCUCUGCAGUUUGGACUCUCCUAUCUAGAAGGCUCAGCAGGUCAUUCUGCCAAUACGCCUGCAUUCCACAUCCUUGGGGACCAUGUCUGGAUGGCUCUGAGCUCCUGUGCACAGACCUUGAUGGCCUCUGGCCAUCAAGCCUGCUCCCCCCAACAUGCACGUGAAAAACAGCCCCGUGACGCUGCUUCCCAAUUUGAAUCCUUCAGACUGGCUGCUGCCAUCUCCAUCUUACAUGUGGUUGCCUUUGUAUUACUAUUUGCACUUUGUAUUACUGUUAGUGUAACUUCUCCACACCCAACUGUAGACCCCACUGAGAUCCAGGACUAAGCCAUAUUCAUCUUUGCAAACUUCCCUCUUGAUUCCUUUUUCAGUCACAGCUCAGAGCACAGUGAUUUGCUAAUUAUUAAAAAUACUGACAUAAAAAUAAAAAUAAAUACAUCCCCUACUCUGUCCAGGUCUUCUCUUUACUCAGCAUUCACAAGGCUCCUGCCGUUACCACAAUAUAAUUUUCUAUUCCUUCACUGCACAACCCUCAGGAAAAAAGUGAUUUUAUUGCACUAAUAUAUAUAAAUAUAGCAGUGCCAGAUUGCUCCAGAGGUAUCUGCAUUUUUUUCAAGGGGUUACCUGCUAACUCUAAGGAUGGAUUUAACCUAUGGAUUUUCUGGAGACUCUGUUUAGGUCCCUUGCAGGGCACAGGGACUGCCGUGAGUAGGAGGCAGCUCUCCUGAGCUUUGCAAGGCGUCUCAUCUUCCACUUCAGAGCCCCCUGGCAAUGAUUUUGCUGGUGGUUUUUGGAAGGAGGGGGAAGGGUGGCUGGGUGUCUGUGUAAAUUACUGUUUGCAGGCUGGGGACUAACUUUAUGUAGCUAUUCUCUACCUUAAAUAAUUAAAACUUCUCAGUUCUGGAUUUAACCGAAUCCUCAAGACUUUCGUGGGAAUGGACAAAACUAAAGUCCCACAUUCCAUAUUGAGGUAACCUCUC
rnacentral:lncRNA from 1 species